rnacentral:rRNA from 1 species
UACAGAGGUCUCAAGCGUUGUUCGGAUUCAUUGGGCGUAAAGGGUGCGUAGGUGGUGAGGUAAGUCGGAUGUGAAAUCUCCGGGCUUAACCCGGAAAUGGCAUUGGAAACUACCUUGCUAGAGGAUUUGAGGGGGGAUUGGAAUACUUGGUGUAGCAGUGAAAUGCGUAGAUAUCAAGUGGAACACCAGUGGCGAAGGCGAAUCCCUGGAAAAUACCUGACACUGAGGCACGAAAGCUAGGGGAGCAAACAGG